AAUAUUAAAAAUAUUGAGCCUAUUUAAUUUUAUAAUGCAAUAUUUUGCAAUUUUUCCACGUUUUUAAACCAUAGGCGUUUAUCGUUCGUCUGGAAUUUUCUAGAAGAUUGGAGAGCCCAGCGAGCGAUAAGCGUCUAUAAAUAUAUGGUGAUAAUUAAAUUCAACGUAGUAGUAAAGUGAUCCGUGUGCGUCUACCCGUUGGUACCUUAGUAUCUAUUGCUUCGAUCAGUUUGACCGCACGGUGAACGUAAUGCCUAGAAUAAAAUCGACUUUUAAAAGAAAAAUUUCGAAUUGGAUUGCUUCUUACAAUGAAAAUAAAUAUGUAUUUUCAUCAGAUGGAACGGUCAUGUAUUGUCUCGUAUGUAACAAAUUCUCUGUCUACCGACACAUACACUACAUAUUAUUUCAAAAGUAGCCCGUAUAUUUUUUUUAGUUCAACACAUAAAUGCAUUACAAAGGAAUAAAGA